UUGAGUUAGUGGCGGACGGGUGAGUAACGCGUGGAUAACCUGCCGUAUACCGGGGGAUAACACUUAGAAAUAGGUGCUAAUACCGCAUAAGCGCACGGGGCUGCAUGGCCCAGUGUGAAAAACUCCGGUGGUAUAAGAUGGACCCGCGUCUGAUUAGCUUGUUGGCGGGGUAACGGCCCACCAAGGCGACGAUCAGUAGCCGGCCUGAGAGGGUGGACGGCCACAUUGGGACUGAGACACGGCCCAAACUCCUACGGGAGGCAGCAG
rnacentral:rRNA from 1 species